GACGAACGCUGGCGGCGUGCUUAACACAUGCAAGUCGAACGGUAAGGCCCCUUCGGGGGUACACGAGUGGCGAACGGGUGAGUAACACGUGAGCAACCUGCCCUUGACUCUGGGAUAACAGUUGGAAACAGCUGCUAAUACCGGGUGUGACCACUUCCUGCAUGGGAUGGUGGUGGAAAGUUUUUCGGUCAAGGAUGGGCUCGCGGCCUAUCAGCUUGUUGGUGAGGUAAUGGCUCACCAAGGCUUCGACGGGUAGCCGGCCUGAGAGGGCGACCGGCCACACUGGGACUGAGAUACGGCCCAGACUCCUACGGGAGGCAGCAGUGGGGAAUAUUGCACAAUGGGCGGAAGCCUGAUGCAGCAACGCCGCGUGCGGGAUGACGGCCUUCGGGUUGUAAACCGCUUUCAGUAGGGACGAAGCUAACGUGACGGUACCUACAGAAGAAGGACCGGCCAACUACGUGCCAGCAGCCGCCGUAACAC
rnacentral:rRNA from 1 species